rnacentral:rRNA from 1 species
UACGUAGGGUGCGAGCGUUGUCCGGAAUUAUUGGGCGUAAAGAGCUUGUAGGCGGUUUGUCGCGUCUGCUGUGAAAAUCCGGGGCUCAACCCCGGACUUGCAGUGGGUACGGGCAGACUAGAGUGUGGUAGGGGAGACUGGAAUUCCUGGUGUAGCGGUGGAAUGCGCAGAUAUCAGGAGGAACACCAAUGGCGAAGGCAGGUCUCUGGGCCACAACUGACGCUGAGGAGCGAAAGCAUGGGGAGCGAACAGG